AAACCCGCGAGGGGAUGUCUGGAGGAAGCUGGCGGCAAAGCUGCAAGCUGACGGACAGAAACGUCAUAGAAGGCCGAGACCCCCAGGAUGAGUUGGCACAACACAACGAAAUCCUUUGGUUCACGGGGCACGGUAAAUGGCGCGGUUGUGCAGUGAAGGUUCAUGUU
rfam:Oscillatoriales cyanobacterium 'hensonii' Contig_232, whole genome shotgun sequence.